rnacentral:lncRNA from 1 species
AUGCGGGAUACGCGUGCACGCAGUGCUGGUGCGGGCUCCUGGGGAGGGCACACGUGCAACACUCCAGGUCCAGUGCCGGAGCAGCGUGGCUCAGCGGCCCGCACCCCGGAGCAGACACGCCCCUCUGUGGCUUCACGAUGGACACAACCUCGCUCAGUGCCCCGAGGCUGCAAGCCUGAGACGGAGCUGUUGCGGGCUUGGUUUCCCUGUGGCUUCUCCUUGGCCUUCUCUCCGUGCCCUGGCAAGGCCGUCCCCCGUGUGUGUCCCUGUCCUGAUGGCCUCUUCUUGGAAGGACACUGUCAAUGGGAUGCGGCCGCCCUGCUGACUCCCGUAACCUCUGUUCCAAGAUUUCAAACAAGUGUGGCUUGGAGCUGAUGUUGCAAACGUUUCCGCCGUCUGUGCGUCCAGACUGAACUCGGGGCUCCCAGCAGCCAAGGCAUUUGCGACCCAGCGAAGCAAACCACCCCCAACAGAAGUCAGGGUCAGCCCAGCCCACCGGGGUCCCCUGCCAGGGUCACGAGUGUGGAGCAGAACGUCGGAGCCAGGGGCGGCUCCGGAGGGCUCCAGAGCCUUGGGGAGAGGCGGGGAGAGGCGGGGAGAGGCGGGGAGAGGGCGCGAUAGGAAAGGGGGCUUCAUGCUGGAGACGCCGCCCCGCAGACACUGAGGGUCUCACACCCGGCGGCCCGAACGCCUUGCAAAGCCCCAGCUGGGGCAGACAGCGAACGGGACUAUACGGUUCCCUAAAAUACGUGACCUCUAAAAAUCUGUGUGUAAAGUAGUUCCAGCCUUAAAUGGCUUCUCAGAGACGGUUAGAAAAUGCGUAUGAGGCCACAGCAGUCGACGAACCCUUCUUAACCCGAGGUCCAGUCUGCCUCCCCUGCCCCCGUCAGGUGCAGGCAGAGCUGGGACUGGGAGAUGCGACACAGAAGGGCCCUCUGUGGCCUGGGGGUGUCGGGAGAAGGUUCUAGCACAGGACUGCCACAUGCUUCCCUGUGGUCCUCCCCACGUGGUCUCCCUCUGCCCGAUGGGUCUGCACAGCCCCACCCAGCGCUAGCAGCCCUGACAGGAGCACAUUUCUGGGUGUGAGUUGUUGGAAAGAAGGCGUGAAGCAGCCUGCCCGCUGUUUGCGUGAGAAAGGGCCUGGGGGGGGGCGGGGGCGAGAGGUGGCCUUGCCCCACGAGUGGAGGAGGCGGAGCCGCCCACGCCGUCUCCUGCGCCAUCUCCAGCACCCACUCCCUGACCGCGGUGGCCUCCCGUGUCUUCCAGGACGUCCACAAGGAGCCGUCCGGGACGCACCAGGUCAGAACUUGGUCGUGACGACGCGGACGCGGCGUGUGCUGUGCCAGCCUCACGGAUGCAGGAGCGCAUGGCUCUG